CCUUCCUAUGAAUAACAUCGAUAGAUAUAUAUAUAUACUAUGUGUUGUAUUUAGCCUCACCAUCGACAUAGAGAAGGCCGAAAGAUGUAUACAUUAACAAUAUUAUCCUGUUUGGCAGUUGGAUUAUUCCAUCAAGCAGUAGGACAACUGGAAGGUGGAGUAUGUACAGAAGACGAUUUCUUUCCCAACAUUGCGGAUCCGAUUAAUUGUUCCGGGUAUUUUAAAUGUAUAGGCGGUGCCUACGAACCGUACCGAUGUCCAGCCGGUCUCGUCUUCAGUACAGCAACUGUAGCUUGUGAUUGGCCAACAGCAGGAGGGUGCCAGGCAACAACGUCACUACCAGCAAAUUCAUUAAUUGACUUCCCAGCUGAUGUUUGUUCUAUCCAGCCAUGUGCUGCUGAUCGAGAUUAUCUGUUACCCAAUUAUAACAAAGCCGGAAACAGCGACUUCUACGUUUGUAAGGGCGGGAAACUCUAUGAGCAAAAAUGUGGAACCUCGCCAGGAACAGAGGAAUUCUUGUUCUAUAACGUUCUCCGUAGCUCGUGCGAGAAACAACACUCCAGAGACUCUCUUUAUUAAAACGGAACUUACUUUCAUUAACACAAAUGACGUAAUACACAAAUGACGUAGUGUACACGGAGAAUCUCCGAUACAGUAUCGUCUAAUAUAGAAUUUAAACAUUUAUUUCAUGGAAAAUUUACGGUUGAUGAAAAAUGCCGGAAUUUUGACUUUAUUUCGUUUAAAUACGCUAUGUAAAUAAUUGCAUAAUAAGGAGAGUAAUCACUAUUUAAUCGAUCACUAUUUAACCUUGAACUUGAACAUUGACCUUGACCUUUAUUUAUGACCUGUUAACCCUGUCCUGUGAUUUUAUUGAUAUGAUAUUCACAGAUUGUUGUAUUGUUAACGACACAAAUAAAACCUUUAAAAAAGA